rnacentral:rRNA from 1 species
AGUGAACGCUGGCGGUAGGCCUAGCACAUGCAAGUCGAACGGCAGCACAGUAAGAGCUUGCUCUUACGGGUGGCGAGUGGCGGACGGGUGAGGAAUACAUCGGAAUCUACUUUUUCGUGGGGGAUAACGUAGGGAAACUUACGCUAAUACCGCAUACGACCUACGGGUGAAAGCAGGGGAUCUUCGGACCUUGCGCGAUUGAAUGAGCCGAUGUCGGAUUAGCUAGUUGGCGGGGUAAAGGCCCACCAAGGCGACGAUCCGUAGCUGGUCUGAGAGGAUGAUCAGCCACACUGGAACUGAGACACGGUCCAGACUCCUACGGGAGGCAGCAGUGGGGAAUAUUGGACAAUGGGCGCAAGCCUGAUCCAGCCAUACCGCGUGGGUGAAGAAGGCCUUCGGGUUGUAAAGCCCUUUUGUUGGGAAAGGAAAGCAGCAGGUUAAUACCCCGCUGUUCUGACGGUACCCAAAGAAUAAGCACCGGCUAACUUCGUG